GGGGGGGUGGAGAGGUCCCUCAGCCCGGAUUGCAAGAGGGCUCAGGCCAGGAUGAGGGACCCCACUGGUGCAUU
rnacentral:pre_miRNA from 1 species